UACGUAGGGAGCAAGCGUUGUCCGGAAUCAUUGGGCGUAAAGCGCGCGUAGGCGGCCCUGUAAGUCCGUUGUGAAAGUCAAAGGCUCAACCUUUGAAAGCCGAUGGAUACUGCAGGGCUAGAGUCCGGAAGAGGCGAGUGGAUUCCUGGUGUAGCGGUGGAAUGCGCAGAUAUCAGGGAGGAACGCCGGUGGCGGAAGGCGGGUCAUCUGG
rnacentral:rRNA from 1 species